rnacentral:lncRNA from 1 species
CCCUCGGGCUUCCUCUCCUGGGGGCCCCGGGCCGGGCUGGCCGGGGGUCGUGUGUUCCAGGGGCCCCGCCCUGAAGCAGCCCCUUUCUUCAGCUGUGCCUGGAAGUGGCUCUGGUCGGCCGGGGCCCCACCAGCCACGGGAUGGAACGUGCUGGGUGCCUGGCCCCCGUCACCAGCUCAGGGGUGCCCCCUGCACGCACGAUGCCUUGAUGCCUCCGGCGGGGUACGCCCCCUCCCCCGGUCCAGGGAGGGAUGAGACCUGGUGAUGGCCUGGACCGCACCUGCAGCAGACGGUGAGCCCUGGGCAGGCGGCCCGCAGGUCCGCACGGCCAUGGCCCGCCCAGGCCUGAGCAGGGGAAUUGGGAGCCAUCGACGCCACUGGUGAGUCCUGGCCCUCCUCGGGUGACCUCCUGUAAGAUGCGGGCAACGGGUACCACCGGCGAGGCUUAAAUGAUAGCCCAGAUGUGCGCAGGUGCAAAGAGGGGCGCCCAGACUUAUGGAUGAAGUCUGCCCAUAAGCAUCCUUUUGGCCGGAUGAUAGGCACCUGGGAUGUGCAAGGUGAGAGAGAUGGGAAUUGCUUCACCCGGAACGCUGGCUCAGGCAACCGAGCGACUGGCACGGCCACUCCUUGAGAUGGAGGCGCCUGGGGGAGGCUGUGGGUGGAAUGUGAAGAAUUUGAGGUGCUCGCGAGUAAACUGAGCAGACGCUGGAUCCAGGGUCCUGACCCUGGGUGGGUGGAACCAGGAUCCACAUGGGAGGAUGCUUCAGGAUGUCUGUGACACUGUGGGUGGACGGCCUCCUGCCGGGGGACGUGUCCAGGAUGGGGAAGAGAGAAGAGGCUGCAGGCCAGCACGGGGCACACCGACACCUAAGGGGAGGGAGACCAUGCCCUCAAAAGACAGAGCCCCAAUGGGAACUCCAAUGUGGGCAGUUUUUAGCCAUUAUGUCUUCAAUAUUUUUUCUCUCCCCCUCUCUUUCUUCUCCCCUUCUGGAACCCUGAUUACCCAUCUGUUAGGCAUUUUAAUGCCGUACAUAGGACCUUGAACCACUGUUCUUUUUUUGAAUUUGUUUCUCUUCUUCACGUUUGAUGACACCUACUGACCUAUCUUCAAGUUCACAGACUCUUUUUUUGUCAUCUCCUUUCUGCUACCAAUGUUUUCCCGUAGUUUUUUUUUUAUCUGAGAUUGUAUUUUUCUGUUUUAGACGCUCUCUUAGAUGUUUUUAAUAUUUUCUACUUGCUGAAAUGUGCUAUCUUUUCAUUCAUGUGCGUGUGUGUUCCUUUAUCUUCACAGGCAUAGUUAUCAUAGCUCUUUUAAAGUCCUUAUCUGAUAACUCCCGUAUCUGAGUGACCUCAGAGUUGGCCUCGGCUAAUUGUCUUUUCCCUUGAGAGGAAAACACGUGUUCUUAGCCCUCAGGUGUGUCAUGUAGUUUUGGAUUGUCCCAUGGACUUUGUGAAUGCUAUACUGGAGAGGCUCUGAAUAAGUUGUGUUUCUUGGAUGGGCACUGGAGUGUUUGUUUCAGCAGGCAAUUCACUUGAUUAAGUUCCAAGGACAAACUCUGUCUCUCCUCUGGUGAUAGGUGGUUCAAAUCUUACUACAGGGCAGUAGCAUUUGUGGUAUAGUGGUGAGCAUAGCUGCCUUCCAAAUCGUACUACAGGGAGUUCCCACUGUGGCUCAGUGGGUUAUGAACCUGAUGAGUAUCCAUGAGGAUGCAGGUUCAAUUCCUGGCCUCACUCAGUGGUUUAAGGACGCAGCAAUGCUGUGAGCUGUGGUGUAGGUCACAGACGUGGCUCAGAUCUGGUGUUGCUGCGGCUGUGGUGUAGGCUGGCACUUGCAGCUCCGAUUCAACCCCUAGCCUGGUAACUUCUGUAUGCUGCAGGUGUGGCCCUAAAAAGCAAAUAAUAGUAAUAAUUUAAAAUAUUAUUGCAUAAUGCUUUCAGAUCUCCCCACACCAGGAAUGUGAGCAGAAUUUAUGCGUAGUAUUUGGGGUGUCCCCUUCUCUGGCUCUUUUUGGAUCCCCACUUACUCCCCAGCAACUUUGAUAGCCCCAGGCGAUCUGCUGGUUCCUCCAGCCAGAAAGAUUGGGAUUUUAGAUGCCUGAACUGUGCUAUGACUGCCCUUCCAAAAACAACCUGCUUUUGCUAAUUCUCUAGAGCCCUUGGGUAGUUUUUGGUUUGUUUGAUCAUUUGCUGUCCAGGGUUUAUGGUUGCUAUCUGCAGGAGAGCUGGUUUGUUAGAAAUUUGCUACUCCAUGUGGGAAGUGUAACUGAGAGAAGUUUCGGUAUGGGGUGGGGGUCGGGGCCAGCAGCAGCAAAAGUUCCUGAGAGAUCCCAUCUUUAAAAAAACAAAAAAAAGUGACCCUUGAAUUGGCUGCAGGGAUGUUUGUGGCGCUGCUGCAGAGCCACUCAGAGGAUGAUGGGUUAGCAGGUGGGACAGAGGGUCGGGGUAAGCGGUUAAACCUCUUCUCUGGGGCGAAGGGAGUGUCGCCUUAUUCCCAGCAGAUUACACACAUGCUUUAUAACUGCGAGUGUAAUUUCAACUUUAUGAAACCUGUUUGGGCCCCUAUCUAUAUUCUUACAUGGUUUUCUCUUCUCUCGUCCGUCCUAUGGCCUAUUAACAAGAUGAUAUUAAUGGAUUUCUUAAUGUUGAGUCAUCCUUGCAUUCCUGGAAGUAAACUCUGUUUGGUCAUGGUGUGUUAUUACUCUAAUUCAAUACACUGCUGGAUUUAAUUUGCU